CCUACGGGUGGCAGCAGUGAGGAAUAUUGGUCAAUGGUCGGAAGGCUGAACCAGCCAAGCCGCGUGAGGGAGGAAUGUACUGAGUAUCGUCAACCUCUUUUAUCAGGUGACAAAGGCGGGCACGUGUCGCCGGUUGAAGGUACCUGAAGAAAAAGCAUCGGCUAACUCCGUGCCAGCAGCCGCGGUAAUACGGAGGAUGCGAGCGUUAUCCGGAUUUAUUGGGUUUAAAGGGUGCGCAGGCCGUUUUUUAAGUCUGCCGUGAAAUGCCGUGGCUCAACCCCGGCACCGCGGUGGAAACUGGCAGUCUUGAGUUGGAGAGAGGGAUGCGGAAUGCGCGGUGUAGCGGUGAAAUGCAUAGAUAUCGCGAAGAACCCCGAUUGCGAAGGCAGCAUGCCGGAUCCACACUGACGCUGAGGCACGAAAGCGUGGGUAUCGAACAGGAUUAGAUACCCUUGUAGUC
rnacentral:rRNA from 1 species